ensembl:lncRNA
GAGGACUCAAGUACAAGAAAACUCAGUGUUGCUGAGAGCACCCAAGAGGAAAAAGAGGAGGACUCAAGUACAAGAAAACUCACUGUUGCUGAGAGCACCCAAGAGGAAACAGAGGUGAGCAGAAGUAACAGCAACAAAAUGGUGGGAGGGAGGACACAUCUGGACAAUCAUCUUCCAAGGUGGUUACCCAUUCUUUGUCAUGGAAUUAUCACCCCCCAGUAGGAAGAAAAGCCAGAAAUGCAAUGACCGAGAUGAUUCUUAACCUGUAUUGCUGGUCAGCAUUCAACCCUAUUUAUCCUACUAGCAAGUAAAGGUUGAACUUUCUUCGUACAUUCUAUGAAACUUAGCUCAUUUAUUCUCCAUUUUGAGAAAGAGCUUUCUGAAUGCACAGCCACAAAAAUAACCAGCUAAAACCCACCUUCAGCAUGGGCCUACCUAAUGCAAACUCUGAUUUCAGAUUGCCUACUAUGGUGGUUGGUUAUUUUAAAAGUGAAAUUCAGAUUGAAAAGGAUGGCAGUGGAUAAGAAAAGCUCCCUAACUUAAUUCUUACUUGUUGAAGGAGGAUUGCAUAAGAAAAAAAGCCAAAAUACUUUGUUUUCUAGCCAUUUUAUCUCCAUGUCCUUUGCAAGAUUUUAAAAGGCAUGAAAGAAAAAUUUACUACCUUUUCCAAGUUCUCCUUUGAGAUUAGUUAACACACUUUAUGAAUUAUUCCUUCAGAGAUGAAAACAAAUGAACAAAUUGGUGGGAGUGUAGUGAAAGUUGUUACUUGUGUCAUACACAUAUAACAUGAGUGAGGAAGUAAGAAAAAAGGCAGGCAAAUUACUAAUUUUUCCAACGAAAUGCACUCCAACAUUCCUUCGACAAAUUUCGAGCUAAUGGGAAGGGAAUUGAGAAGAUGUCUAGCACAAAAAUGUUAUGGGAGGAAUUUUAGGACUCCUGCUCAGGGAUUUGUUGUUAGCAGUUUAGGGGCACAUAAUUCUCGAUUUCUGGGACUUGCCUUCCAUGAUGAGGAGGAAAAGGAAAGUGUGAGAAACAGAAUGAGAGAGAGUGCCCAGGAUAGCCUGAAACCUUAUACAUUACAGGAGGACUCAUCUUCAAGAAAACUCAGUGCUGCUGAGAGUACCCAAGAGGAAAAAGAGGAGGACUCAUCUUCAAGAAAACUCAGUGCUGCUGAGAGUACCCAAGAGGAAAAAGAGGUGAGCAGAAGUAACAGUCACAAAUUGGAGUGUAGGGAGGACACAUUUGGACAAUUAUUCUACAAAGUGGCUACCCAUUCUUUGUCACUGAAUUAUCACUCUACAAUAGGAAUAAAAGCCCCGAGUUACUAUGAUCAAGAUGAUUCUUGACCUUUCUGGUAAUCAUUCAAAUGUAUUUACCCUCCUACCAAGCACAAAAAAGCUUUGUGAGGAAUUUUAGGACUCCUGCUCAGGGAUUUGGUGUUAGCAGUUUAGGGGCACAUAAUUCUCGAUUUCUGGGACUUGCCUUCCAUGAUGAGGAGGAAAAGGAAAGUGUGAGAAACAGAAUGAGAGAGAGUGCCCAGGAUAUCCUAAAACCUUAUACAUUACAGGAGGACUCAUCUUCAAGAAAACUCAGUGCUGCUGAGAGUACCCAAGAGGAAAAAGAGGUGAGCAGAAAUAACAGUCACAAAUUGGAGUGUAGGGAAGACACAUUUGGACAAUUAUUCUACAAAGUGGCUACCCAUUCUUUGUCACUGAAUUAUCACUCUACAAUAGGAAUAAAAGCCCCGAGUUACUAGGAUCA